GGGGAUUUAGCUCAGUGGUAGAGCGCUUGCCUAGCGAAGUGCAAGGCCCUGGGUUCGGUCCCCAGCUCCG
rnacentral:tRNA from 1 species